AGCGCAGGCGGAUGUGUAAGUUCUGUGUUAAAUGCAGCUACUCAAUAGUUGUAUGCACCGAAUACUACAUGUCUAGAUUGUGGUAGGGAGUUUCGGAAUUAAGCAUGGAGCGGUGGAAUGUGUAGAUAUGCUUAAGAACACCAGAGGCGAAGGCGGAAACUUAGGCCAUAAAUGACGCUUAGGCUUGAAAGUGUGGGGAGCAAAUGGGAUUAGAUACCCCAGUAGUCCACACCGUAAACGAUGGGUAUUAGAUAUUAGGGCUUUAGCUUUAGUGUUGUAGCUUACGCGUUAAAUACCCCGCCUGGGUAGUACAUAUGCAAAUAUGAAACUCAAAGGAAUUGACGGGGACCUGAACAAGUGGUGGAGCAUGUUGCUUAAUUCGAUAAUACACGAAAAACCUUACCAAGGUUUGACAUCCCUCGCAAAGCUAUAGAAAUAUAGUGGAGGUUAUCGAGGUGACAGGUGGUGCAUGGCUGUCGUCAGCUCGUGUCUUGAGAUGUUUGGUUAAGUCCCGCAACGAGCGCAA
rnacentral:rRNA from 1 species